CCUGGAGGUCCAGUGGUUAGGACUCAGCAUUUUGACUGCUGAGGGCUUGGGUUCGAUCCCUGUUCCAGGA
rnacentral:tRNA from 1 species